CUCCCCCGCCCCCGCCCCCCGCUCUGCCGCGGGCCCCCGCCCGCCGCGGGCCGAGAGCUCGGCGCGCUCGACCCCGGGUCCCGCCUCCCCGAGGUUUUCGCUUUCGCUUUCCCGCUGAUGUCGUUGGGGAAAAUUAAGCUGCCGAGGCCAGGCUGGCGCAGAAGCCGUUCCUGGCGAGGGGCGCAGAGCACGGCRGCGGCGGCGGCCGGCCUGGAACCCGGGUCCCGCUGCCCGCGCCGGGCGAGGCUGGGACCUCAAAGAGAUCCCAAGGAAGUGAGGCCCCUAAGCCAGACCUCUGUCCCUGGACUGCUUGGUGAGGGCCUGAUGGAUCUGGGAUUCCUGCAGAAGGUUCUGCUGGCAGAACAGAACGCGGGGGCUGGACAAAGCCUUUCACCCUCAAGUAAGUUAACCAGCUGGCCCUGGUUUGCCUAGGACUUCCUCACUUUUUGCAAUGCAAGUCCCAAAUCCUGGGAAACUCUCAUUCCUGAGCAGAUUGAGACAGUUGUUCACCUUAUCUGCAAGGCCUUUUGAACCUGCAAACCUGCUCUGGAUCACACCGCACCUUGCAUAGCUGGAUUCCUGGAUGCAAGGGAGACUUGGUAGCUGAGGAAGGACCCUGAGCCAGUGCCGGGACAUUCCCAUCAGAGUCGCAAGCUGUAUAGACUGUGCCUGUGUCAACAGCACAGAGCUCCUAGCCAUAGCAUGGGGGAGAGUAGAAAGUGCAUUUUCACCUGAGCCUCUAAAAAUAUAGCAACCUGGUCACUUCUGUGUGGUCUAUUACGG
rnacentral:lncRNA from 1 species